CCAUUUUGUACGUGAGGUCGUACAGAUCGUGUACAUUUAAGAAUUAUUGUUAUUAUUAUUUUGGCAGUCAAGUCCCGAUGAUGGAAAGUAAGUGGAAUUGCAGCAGCAUCGCAUUCAUCGAACCAAGUAUGCACUUUUCAGAGAGAAGUUCUCAUUCGUAGUGAAAUUUUCAUCGGACACCCAAAAAGUGUUCGAGUACCAGCCCAACCUGUCUGUCAUCGAAGCAUUUGGAUAUUUCGGAGGCUACAUCGGCAUAUGGCUAGGCCUGUCGCUUCUCUCCAUCCUACUCAAUGCGGAGAAAAAGGUGGCAAGCAUUCUUGCUCGUCGAGAAAACAAACGAGUUUCUGCCAGUAACGCACGAAACGUAAGAGCUAUAGCACAGGUCGGC